AUUGAACGCUGGCGGCAUGCCUUACACAUGCGAGUCGAACGGCAGCACGGGAGCAAUCCUGGUGGCGAGUGGCGAACGGGUGGGUAAUAUAUCGGAACGUGCCCAGUAGUGGGGGAUAACUGCUCGAAAGAGCAGCUAAUACCGCAUACGACCUGAGGGUGAAAGGGGGGGAUCGCAAGACCUCUCGCUAUUGGAGCGGCCGAUAUCAGAUUAGCUAGUUGGUGGGGUAAAGGCCUACCAAGGCAACGAUCUGUAGUUGGUCUGAGAGGACGACCAGCCACACUGGGACUGAGACACGGCCCAGACUCCUACGGGAGGCAGCAGUGGGGGAUUUUGGACAACGGGCGCAAGCCUGAUCCAGCAAUGCCGCGUGCAGGAAGAAGGCCUUCGGGUUGUAAACUGCUUUUGUCAGGGAAGAAAUCCUCUAGGUUAAUACCCUUGGGGGGAUGACGGUACCUGAAGAAUAAGCACCGGCUAACUACGUGCCAGCCGCCGCCGUAAAAC
rnacentral:rRNA from 1 species